UACGUAGGGUGCAAGCGUUAAUCGGAAUUACUGGGCGUAAAGCGUGCGCAGGCGGUUAUGUAAGACAGAUGUGAAAUCCCCGGGCUCAACCUGGGAACUGCAUUUGUGACUGCAUAGCUAGAGUACGGUAGAGGGGGAUGGAAUUCCGCGUGUAGCAGUGAAAUGCGUAGAUAUGCGGAGGAACACCGAUGGCGAAGGCAGGUCUCUGGGCUGACACUGACGCUCAUGCACGAAAGCGUGGGGAGCAAACAGG
rnacentral:rRNA from 1 species